rnacentral:misc_RNA from 1 species
AAGGAUCAUUACCGAGAUACUUCUCCUGCUUGCAGGAGAAUCUCCCACCCUUUGUGUAUCAAAUCUAUACUUUGGUGAAGCGAUCUGCCAGUUUUCUGGCAGACCACCGGCCUGCAAAUACAGGCGGGUGAGCCUUUGCCAAAGGACUUCCAAACUCUUUUUUGUAAUACAACUGUCUGAGUUUAUACAAUAAAUAAGCACAAAACUUUCAACAACGGAUCUCUUGGUUCUG